UACAGAGGGUGCAAGCGUUAAUCGGAAUUACUGGGCGUAAAGCGUGCGUAGACGGUUAUGUAAGUCAGGUGUGAAAGCCCCCGGGCUCAACCUGGGAAUGGCAUUUGAGACUGCAUAGCUAGGGUGCGGAAGAGGGAAGCGGAAUUUCCGGUGUAGCGGUGAAAUGCGUAGAUAUCGGAAGGAACAUCAGUGGCGAAAGCGGCUUCCUGGUCCAGCACCGACGUUCAGGCACGAAAGCGUAGGGAGCAAACAGG
rnacentral:rRNA from 1 species